CAGCCAAGGGGGAAGGAGCUCUCCCAGAACAAGCAGAGGGGAGAGGCCAAACUGCAACUGCAGGGUGCUGUUUGGUAGAGGAUGGUCCACAUAUACAGACAUCUCAAAUAUUUAUGCUGGGAAAUAAUGCUUAUGGAAAAGACAGACAACCUCCUGUGAUUACUUGAGGAGUUUUGCCUGCAUCUAGUUUGUGCAGAGAGACUGGAAGAAAAACAUCUGAGUACCUCUGAGUGUGUUCAGGGCUGCGUGGGCUGGACUGAGGACCAAGGAACUACUUAACCUCUUUGAAGGGACAGAGAACCUCUGACUGGUUGACCUUUUCCCCAAUAAAUGCCUUGCCUAAACAGACUGUUUGCCGUGCUGUUUGGAAUGGGAGCUGUACUAGUACCCCAACUGGAGAUGAAGUCCCUCUCUCAGAAGAGGAAUUGUAUGCUUGCUUCUUGAGUCAGGGCCAUGGACAACCAGAAGGUGAGGGACUGAAAAACCAGAAUAUGAUCCUCAGAGUAUGGAAGGAGUCUGAGCUCUCCUACAUCUGGGCUGUCUUGUUGGGGUACUCUGAGACCAGACAAGGCCACAGCA